rnacentral:lncRNA from 1 species
GAGACUGGCUUCACUGUUUUGACUGUAGUGAUAAGCUUUCCACACUGACUGAACAUUCAGUGAAGACGUGUUAAUCGAUUUCUUUAUUUUCUUUGUUAUUUACCUGAAUUAUUGCUUUGCUUUUCAUCAUUAUAUCCCUCAGAAAUUAACCCUUUCACUUUUUCCCCUUAAUUUAGUCGUGAGCUUUUGAAGAAAUGUAAAACUGUUAUAAGAAGAGUCUUACUUCAAGGCUAAGUCUUUUAUCUUCCUA